ensembl:lncRNA
CUGCCAAAACACUUCCCUGUUGAGACAGGCUAACACAUCGUGUUAUAACAUAAGUAGUUCCUCUUUGUCUUCGUUGUUCAAAGUGCUUACAACAUAACGCACAAGGCACAUGGAAACUCUAGGAAUUAAAGCGCCCAACGACUAUUUGCAUGUUUUGCAGGAUAUCGACGCGAAACCAAAUUAGUGUGUGUUGUUCCUUGUAUAGACCGGCAGGCAGUGAGGUGUAAACGAAAGCUAUAUCUCCAUGUAUGUCGGGUUAUAAAUUCGCAAGCCUUUCCACGAUGCGCACGUCCCACAGGAAUGUGGUCUUGUUAGGGGCUUUUCUAUGGUAGUCACAAACUGAAGUUAAGCUAUGGCCGCUGACCCAGCAGUGAAGAAAAGGGCAAACCUCCUUGCCUCCAGGGCGAGUUGGGCCAAGGUGGACGGACAAUCUGAUGAACCAUCUAACACCAGAAGAACAGGAGACUACAAGCAAGAUAGCGUCCAGCAGUGGCUUAGUUCCAUUAACAGGGGGGGUGAGAAGAACGAGGCAGUUCAGAGGUCUGCAGCGGGGUCCCUGCAGAGAAACGCCAGCGCCGAGGAUGACUUAGCGCUGGGUGUGGAAGGUAAACACCUUUUCAUUGUUUGGGCAACACGGCUCAUCAUCCCUCCGAAAAAGCAACAUGUAAAGUAAAUAAUCUGGUGAAAAAAAGAUUCUUGCAUGUUUAAACCAAACACUGAUGGCAUAGAAGCUGACGAGUGAAGUUGAAAUGUCUCCAGUCCCAACAAUUUAUUAAAAAACUGCUCGGGGGAGGGGGAUAUUGACGCCGUGCGGGUGUCUGUCCAGCCCCUUGUUGGUCCCAGCACUAGCCCCCACAGCGGUAGACCCAGGGAUGAGGAGACCCAUUUGGGGGAAAGUUAGGGGUGGGGGCCGCCCCUAAGCCCUUCUUGCACUCUGAGUGGAUGUCGGAGACGGCAAGGGAACAGCUUGCUCCUUCUUGGCAAAGAGCAUUCCGUCCUUACACAAACACCGCCAAGGCUUGAAGCUCUCCAGUCCCGAUUGUCACCUGCUGUAGGCGAUGGUGGUAUGUGUGUGUGAGAGGUGUGUGUGUACGCAUGUAUUUGUGUGUAAGUGCAGCACUGAGUGGCUCAGCGGCAGGGCAGAAAUAUCUUCCCUAUUGCAGUGCCAGCCUUAAAAAGAAGAAACAGCAACGCACUGGGGAGGAUAAGAAGAGCUGGAGAGAAGAAGCAGGGAGACAGUUGGCAAUGUAGAGAAAGAGAGGAAGAGAGAGAGGAAGACUCCGGCUUCCUGAAGGAUGAAUCAGAGCCCGGGGCAUCCGAGGACAUCUGGCAUGGGUCUAGAACCCUGGUCUAAUGGAGAAGGGAUGCUGAGCACGGGAAUAGUGCGGUUUUGAUGUCGGAAUGUCGGUGUUCUCUCCGGAUGGAUGAUCAGUUGACUCCUUGAAGUCCCGUCCUUUGGAGAAGAAGGAAGACAAGAAGGUGACUGCACUCCCUCCAGCUACGUCUCUAAGAACGGUCUCCUUUUACGUGCAGUUGUGUCUCGAAAGGAGGAAUGUUUUUGUAGGUCAGGAACUGUCUGCCAUUCUGGCAGCUCCAAGAACAGUGUGUGGACUAAAAGGAUUUUUUCCCUCCUUGACACACUAUCCUGUAUUUAUACUUCCCGAACUUCCCAC